UUAUCGAUAAGCCAUUGGAGGGCAAGUCUGGUGCCAGCAGCCGCGGUAAUUCCAGCUCCAAUAGCGUAUAUUAACGUUGUUGCAGUUAAAAAGCUCGUAGUUGAAGUGUGGGUGGUGCUGUCUGAAUGACUUCGGUUAGUCAGAUGAUCACUACCCCCUUCCAGUAUCCAGUAGUGGGUAUUCAGUUACUUACUAUUGUGUGUUGGUCCUUUACUGUGAGAAAAUUAGAGUGUUCAAAGCAGGCGUUUGCUUGAAUAGAUUAGCAUGGAAUAAUAAUUGAAGGCUUUCGUGUUCGAUUUGAUUGGUUUGUUCAUGGAAGCAAGGUUAAAAGGAACAGUUGGGGGUAUUCAUAUUCACUAGUUAGAGGUGAAAUUCUCGGAUUUAUGGAAGAUGAACAAGUGCGAAAGCAA
rnacentral:rRNA from 1 species